rnacentral:piRNA from 1 species
CAUGUAUUGCUCCUAUAGAGGACCCA